rnacentral:rRNA from 1 species
CCUACGGUGGGCAGCAGUGGGGGAUAUUGGACAAUGGGGGGAACCCUGAUCCAGCGACGCCGCGUGAGUGAAGAAGUAUUUCGGUAUGUAAAGCUCUGUCAGCAGGGAAGAAAGAAAUGACGGUACCUGACCAAGAAGCCCCGGCUAACUACGUGCCAGCAGCCGCGGUAAUACGGAGGGGGCAAGCGUUAUCCGGAAUUGCUGGGUGUAAAGGGAGCGUAGAGGGUUAAGUAAGUCUGGCGUGAAAGGCCGGGGCCCAACCCCGGGACUGCUCUGGAAACUAUUUGACUUGAGUGCAGGAGAGGUAAGCGGAAUUACUAGUGUAGCGGUGAAAUGCGUAGAUAUUAGGAGGAACACCGAGGGCGAAGGCAGCUUACUGGACUGUAACUGACGUUGAGGCUCGAAAGCGUGGGGAGCAAACAGGAUUAGAUACCCUAGUAGUC